GGUAUCUUUCAGUGAAUCAGCAGAUUCCAACCAUGCGCACCUUCGCUUUGGUAGCAGUAUUCGCUAUGGUAUUCUGCGUGGAGACCUGUUUUUAUAGCCGUUCAAGCUGCUAAAAUGCCUAAACAGGACUGCUACAGGAACGGCACUUGCAGCUACCCAGAUGCCUGUUGGGACUGCCCUAAACCAGAACCCCGAGGAUAUAUCAGAACGCUAAUUUUUUACUUUAAUACCGAAACCCAAAGCUGCGAAAUGACUGCUGGAAACAUAGACGAGGAACGAGGAACAUGCAACAGCUUUGACAAUGAACACGACUGCAAAUUAUACUGUGGACUUGACCACGAAGACUACGAGCAAAAUGAAACCUGUUAGGUAAUACAUAGGCGUUGCUAUUUCAACAGCAGUCGUGUACAUAAAAAAAUCACUGCACGGAUGUCAUCGGCUUUUUCAAUGAAUAAAAGCUUCUUGCACCCAAGGC